rnacentral:rRNA from 1 species
UACGUAGGGUGCAAGCGUUUGUCCGGAAUUAUUGGGCGUAAAGAGCUCGUAGGCGGUUUGUCGCGUCUGCUGUGAAAACGCGAGGCUCAACCUCGCGCCUGCAGUGGGUACGGGCAGACUGGAGUGCGGUAGGGGAGAUUGGAAUUCCUGGUGUAGCGGUGGAAUGCGCAGAGUAUCAGGAGGAACACCGAUGGCGAAGGCAGAUCUCUGGGCCGGUAACUGACGCUGAGGAGCGAAAGCGUGGGGGAGCGAACAGG